GUGGGGAAUAUUGGACAAUGGGCGCAAGCCUGAUCCAGCAAUGCCGCGUGGGUGAAGAAGGUCUUCGGAUUGUAAAGCACUUUAAGUUGGGAGGAAGGGCAGUAAGUUAAUACCUUGCUGUUUUGACGUUACCGACAGAAUAAGCACCGGCUAACUUCGUGCCAGCAGCCGCGGUAAUACGAAGGGUGCAAGCGUUAAUCGGAAUUACUGGGCGUAAAGCGCGCGUAGGUGGUUUUGUAAGUUGGAGGUGAAAUCCCCGGGCUCAACCUGGGAACUGCCUCCAAAACUGCAUGACUAGAGUACGGUAGAGGGUAGUGGAAUUUCCUGUGUAGCGGUGAAAUGCGUAGAUAUAGGAAGUAACACCAGUGGCGAAGGCGACUACCUGGACUGAUACUGACACUGAGGUGCGAAAGCGUGGGGAGCAAACAGGAUUAGAAACCCGAGUAGUCC
rnacentral:rRNA from 1 species